ACCCUGUGGAACCCCGCACAGCGGGGGCCGACAUCAACUGGUACCAACCCGCAGAAAGGAAGAGAACCGGCGCAAUACUGUGCCACCCACUCCCACCCUGUGGAGCUGAUACAAAAGGAUACCACGGUCAAGAAGAGCCAGUGCUGGCCACGGGGUUACCAACUAAUUGGGGAAUGUUUUUACCUGGUACAAGAGAGCGCCAAAUUUCGCACAGGGACAGAUACAUAACCCCGUCCUGCUCCCGCCAGAGAUCAUCCAAGAGUAGGACUAAUGCCAUUGUGGAAUCAAAACGCGGGACCCAAAGGCAAAACCACCAGGGCUUCCCUACAGUGCUUAUUAGGCAACACAUACUGGAGGGGGACCCCACCGAAGGUUAGUGGGAGACGCUCCCCUGCAGGCAGAAUGGACGCCCUGACGUUUAUACAGUUCUACAAGAAGGGGAAGGGAAAAGAGCACAUACGUAUACGUAUUCAUAUGACGAUGCAGGAAAACAACAGCCUGACUGAGAUGAAGAAACAGACCAGUUCAGGGGGCCUCAGGCCAGGAAGGGCACAUCCUCCUUCAAGACAGAUGCCUCGCCUCGGCUGGCUGUCCUGGGGUGUCUGAGGACGUUAGACACUGGACAAAAAUCGUCCAGCAUGGUUGGAUCCAGAGACAGCUUCUUGAGGAGGGGGUGAACCACUGCCUGCUUAAGAAGCGAUGGGAUAACCCCUUCUCUCAAAGAAUAAUUCACCAUCACUUGGAUCUGGCACUGACACCCUCCAGGGAGCCUUAAUGAGCCAGGAGGGGCAGGGGUCUAAGGAGCAGAUGGCUGAGCUCACAGUCCCCAGGACCCUCUCCACUUCCUCAGGUCCAGGAGGAUCAAACUGUCCCCAGAUAACGGCAAGACUGUGCUCUGGGCACCUCUACUGGACCUGUGUUAACCCUGGAGUCCAGCUUGCAACAAAUCUGAGCGAUUUUGUCCAUCAAGUGUUAUGCAGAUUCCUCUGAAUGGUCUUGCAAGUAAACCUCCGAGCCCUGCUUUCCCAGAUGGGCUCGUGUCGCCUUAAACAAGGCUGUCGGGCGGCUAUCCGCAGACGCAAUAAGGGCAGAGAAGCGUGGAAGCCACAGGAUGGGCCUUAACAGCAGCUCUCCCUCUAGACAUCUCUUCUCUCGUUCCAACUCCCUAAGCUUUUCCAUAAACCACAGAGAGCGACAGGAUCCACGAGAGGGGAGAGGUCACGUGGGCACGAUCCGAUCUGAAGCCUCGGCUGCCCUUUCAUUCCAGCUGUGGGCCUGACGGGCUGUUUGUGUACUGGGAGCUGUGUUUGUGGGGCCCCGACGGAUUAGGAAUUUCCUGUGUUGCUCCUGCUUGUUCUGCUUUGAUUAGAUAGGGGACUAGUUAAACGCUGAACUAUAGUACUCUUUGCCUCAUUAUAAUAGUAAAAAACACACCCCUAGGAGUAAACAUGAGAUGCUAAUGAGCCCCCCUCAUGGCUUAUUAUGGGGUACACAGUUGUAGUACACAUGUGCAUGAUGUAAUUCACCCACGUAUUUGUUUUAGCCAGCAAGAAUUGUGAUGAAUGUUACCUGCUUAGUGAAAUGUAUAAAAACCUUUGGACAACGCCCCUUUGCGCACUCGAUUUGGAUUUUGGUCCCAAGUGCACCUCUUUGCUUCUGUACAGAAAUAAAGUGUGGA